AGUGAGGGAUUCAAGUGGUGUGUGAAGAGCAGCCACUCCUCACCAUUUAUACAAGGGAGUAAACCUGAUCUUUAUCUCUUUCUAUACAAUCAUGAUAGGUUUAUCUCUUGAAAUUGUCUUGCAUCAAUUAGGUGCUGUCUAAGUUAUUGCAUUCAUGCAUUGAACUGUCGAAUUGAUCAUGCAUUGUUACCCUUGUCUAGAUUGUGCUUGUCCUUGAUCUUUUGUUUGCCUAUUUCAGAAUUAAUAUUUUGUUGAGGCAUUGGUGAUCAAACAAGAUGUGUGAUCUUGCUUUGGUCCCAAUAGGAUGAUUUAAUUUUGCAUUGAGUUGUGGUGGUUUAGGUACACAAGCAGUGAUACAAGUGACUCACCAACAACCAAGAGUGUAAAGACAAAGGUCUUUUGCCAUUGCAUAUCAUCACUAGGACAUGUCAGUCCCCAAUCUACAGGAAGUGUAGUGUGAUUGAUUAUGCAAUGAGAGAUGGCUAUUGCAUAAUACCAUUAGGACAUGUCUAGUCCUUAGUCUACAGGAAGUGUAGCAUGGGACAUUAUGCAAUAAGAAGUGUGACUUGUGAGGCUCUCUAUGGUGAUUCAAACACCCUAGUUCCUGGUAUAAGGAAGAGAGCAGCUCACAAGACCGAGACCAUCACCACAGCUGUUGAGACCGGUGGUCUAAGGCCAUGAAAGUGCUUACACCCACACAAGCUUAGUUCCAAAUCAGAGUCUCGGAAACUAAGCUUGAGGGGGGAAUGUUAAAUAAGCAAGGUUCAUGGCCUGAUAGGUCUUUGCAAAGGCUUCUAAGAAGAACCAUCAACCGGGCCAAGUCAGUGGCGUGUCUAGGUAAGAGGCUGUUCAGAGCAGUCUUGGCAAGUGAGGAGGAAGGCUCUCCAUCAAUGCGGCUUCAAUGAGAGGUGGCUGAGGAGAAGCUGAUAGACCCAUUUAGUCAUCCAACAAGUUGAUAGUGCCAAGAAGAUGAUGCAUUGGCCGAGUGGGAAACUCACCAAAAAUAAAAAGGGAAGUCUACUUAUCAUGUUACUCAAGAUGAUAGACUUAUCUCCUUAAAAUUCAUUGAUUUAAUGCAGCUUAGUCUGAAAAGAUAAGCCUAUGUACUUGGAUUUCUCUCCUAAAGAACUGAGGCACUGCGUUCAUAUUGAAUCAGGUACUUGUGAUCUUGAUAAGCAACCUUUAGGAGAUGGAUGUGAUACCUACAGAGACUACUUGAGGGAGGAUCAAGUGGAGAGUCAAGCUGUAUCAGUCCCUUAGAUGAGCCGGUACAAGGGAAUGUGUACAAGUGGAGGAUGCGUAUGCUCAUAGAAAGCUCCUCACCAAAACAAAAAGGAAGUGUCCCUUAGUCUCUUUCAGUUCAAUUCAUUCUUCUAUUAAGGGCUUAAGCUUGAAAAAGUUACUAGAAAUGAAUUGAUUGAACUGUGAUUAUACUGAAAAAGAUUGAUUGAAUUGUGUGCAUCAAUUGUGAUGCAGGAUAUUCAAAUUCUUGGUUCUUGAUAAGUACUGAUGCACCUUUGGAAUGUGUAUCAGGUACCUUUGCUUGGCGCCUUAUUAAACAGUUCCGGGUCAUCUCUUAGCUUCUCUAAAGAGGCUGUGAAGUCUGUGGAGAGGGGGAGAUUCCAAACCUGGUCUAUGAAGAGGGCAAGCCGUGUGUGAAGUGUUGAGCAGCCUCACUGGUGUUUUGAAGAUGAUCUGGUCAUGUCCUAGCUUCUCUAGGAUGGCUGUGAAGUCAGUUGAGAGGGGGAGGCUUCAAACCGGUUCCAUGAAAAGAUGAAGCUGAGUUGUUAAGUGCGCAAAGACUUGAUGAGUUGCUGCACCAUCUUAGGCCGUGAUCCAGAACUUCUUGUGUCCAACCACACUGGUUCUAAGGCACAAGAGUUCAUUGGCCAAUCCCUAGGCCCUUAAGAGCUCUACUCUUUUUCCCUUGCAAAGUUUUGUCCCACAGGGUUUUCUUUGCAAGGUUUUUAAUGAGGGAGACUCUUCAGGGUUCCAAGCUUGGCUCAGGAUCUCCUAGAGUCAAGCUUGAGGGGGAGUGUUGAGCUGAAGAGAAGAUAGAAGCUUGUGCAAAGAUAGGGCAAGCUUCAGGAGAUGUUCAGAAGAGUUCAACCAAGCUUCAGAAGUACCCUGAAGUGUAUAUCUUGUGAAGUUAAGUCCAAGAAGGGCUUAGACUGAUCUGUAGAAGACAUUAGAGGAGUUUGGGAGGAAAUGGUCGAUGGUGCAAAGUUAGGGUCGGCUGUACGGACGGCCGUACGGACUGUACGGACCGGUACGGAUGAGAUCGACCCGAAACAUCUUUUCUCAACCAUCUGAAGACAAUUGGUGCUUGUGCAAAAAUAGGGCACAAGGGUACGGUCUGAGAAGUAUGUGCAAGGUCCGGGUUGAGUAAUGGUAUCAAAACAGCAUCAAGAAGAUGCUGUGUGCAAUGGGAAUCUAAGGGAGCUGGCACACGGUUCUGAUUGGCUUAUGAUAGUCCAAGACAGGCUGGAUGUUGCUGGAAAGAAAGAGACAAAGGCUGGCUAUGUAUCUGGACAAAGAUAUGGACAGAUACAUAAGGCAGUGUGGAGUAUUUCUAGCCAAGCAUUCCACAUCCAAUCAGGAGCAUACAGCCAGCUACAAACACCCCAAGACCUGAUCCAGAACGUCCAUUUCAAACCAGGCUACCUCCACUGUCCAUUUCUGUUGAGUUGAGUUGCGUAUAAGUGUGAAGCAAGUGAGGAGUUGAGACUAAGGAGAUGAGUUGAAGCUUGGGAAGGUUUGGGCAAGGUCCGUACAAGUCCGUACAGUCCGUACAUGACCGUACACAUGAAGAUGGGUGAAACCUUGACAAGGGUUAUGAGGUUUUCAGAGUACCAGUACUUGAGUGAUGUAAGAACAGAUGAGAGAUUGUUGUAUGAUGAAGUAUGAAGAGUAGAAAUGAGUUUAAGAGAAUCAGAGAGAGUAUAAGAGAGACUGAGAGAUUAGGAACGUGUAUAGGAGAUUAGAGAGACUUAGUAACAAGAUUAAGAGACUUAGUAACCAGAGAAUAAGAACCAAGAACAAGUUUAUGAAGAAGAGAGACUCUCUCAGCUUAAGGGUUUACAAAGUGAUCAUAAGAGGCUUAUAUAUGCCUUUACACAACUCAUAUCACAAACCUAGAUCCUAAG